rnacentral:lncRNA from 1 species
UGCAGAUCAAGAUGCCCUGAGGGCAAAGAGCAGAGGGGUGCUCUCUGGUGGCCCAGCAGUUCUGCCCCAGGGGAGAGGUUUCUCUUUUACUACCGCGAAAACCCACAGGACGCUGCUUCAUCCCAGAGCCAAGGAUACCAGGAAGGAAGGUCAGAGUGAGGAGGUGUCUGAGUGUUUCAGAUCACACAGUGACAUACUGCUUGAUGGCUUCAGAAAUCCUUCAUGAGCUGGGAGACAGCCCCAGAGGUGACAGCCCCAACCAUCUCGAGGACAACACAUCAGCAGCAGCAGCCACGUAGAUGUUUGUUUCUGUACCUGGAUUCUAAGUGCCUGAAGGACUGGACAUAUCUGGUUUCUAAGUUCCAGGAGGACUGGACACAUCCAUCACCCACGUGUAAACCCAGCACCUAGCACAGUGCCUGCCAUACGAUAGGGUUUAAGACGCAUGGGAGGAAUCUAAUCAUCAGACUACCAAAGGGCUGCUAGAACUCAGAAAGGGAUCCCCAUCAUUUGGGGGAUGGGAUAAAGGUCUUCAUUUCUGUUCUUUCCAGCACCAACCUCCAUGGCUCCACUCAUCCCUGCUCCUUCCUCCUAUUAAGAUUGGCUGGUCAGGAGAGGGGUAGGGGCAGGAGCAGCUAUACCUGGUCUCCUCCACCAUCCACGGUGGGGUGCACUCUUGGUGGGACCUGGUGAGCAUGACAGCACCUGGGCCUAGGGGACCUGGAGCCUCCACAGACCCACAGAGAGCAAGAGGAGCUGUUCAGCCACUUGCAGAGACAGCCAGAGAGUGCUUCAAGGACUG